AACAUCGCCUCCUGCAAAAAUCAAUGUAUAGGAGGUCCUGCCUGCCCAGUGACAACUAGUUAAACGGCCGCGGUAUUUUGACCGUGCUAAGGUAGCGCAAUCACUUGUCUUUUAAAUGAAGACCUGUAUGAAUGGUGGAACGAGGGCUUAACUGUCUCCCUUCUUCGGUCAAUGAAAUUGAUCUACCCGUGCAGAAGCGGGUAUAGACAUACAAGACGAGAAGACCCUUUGGAGCUUAUUGGGGCGACCGCGGGGGAAAACAGAGCCCCCACGUAAAGCCAAGAGAGACAUCUCUAAGCCACAGAACAUCUGACCAAAAGAUCCGGCCCACAAGCCGAUCAACGAACCAAGUUACCCUAGGGAUAACAGCGCAAUCCUCUCCAAGAGUUCAUAUCGACGAGGGGGUUUACGACCUCGAUGUUGGAUCAGGACAUCCUAAUGGUGCAGCCGCUAUUAAGGGUUCGUUUGUUCAACGAUUAAAGUCCUACGUGAUCU
rnacentral:rRNA from 1 species